rnacentral:rRNA from 1 species
AGUGGCGGACGGGUGAGUAACACGUAAGAAUUUGCCUUUAGGAGGGGGAUAAUAACUGGAAACGGUUGCUAAUACCCCAUAUGCUUUCAGUGAAAUGGAGUUUUCCGCCUAGAGAGAAGCUUGCGGCUGAUUAGCUUGUUGGUGGGGUAAUGGCCUACCAAGGCGACGAUCAGUAUCUGGUUUGAGAGGAUGAUCAGACACCUGGAACUGAGACACGGUCCAGACUCCUACGGGAGGCAGCAGUGGGGAAUUUUCCGCAAUGGGCGAAAGCCUGACGGAGCAAUCUCGCGUGAGGGAUGACGGCCUAUGGGUUGUAAACCUCUUUUUUCAGGGAGGAACAAAAUGACGUGUACCUGAAGAAUAAGCAUCGGCUAACUCCGUGCCAGCAGCCGCGGUAAGACGGAGGAUGCAAGUGUUAUCCGGAAUCACUGGGCGUAAAGCGUCUGUAGGUGGUUUAGUAAGUCAACUGUUAAAUCUUGAAGCUCAACUUCAAAAUCGCAGUCGAAACUAUUAGACUAGAGUAUAGUAGGGGUAAAGGGAAUUUCCAGUGGAGCGGUGAAAUGCGUAGAGAUUGGAAAGAACACCGAUGGCGAAGGCACUUUACUGGGCUAUUACUGACACUCAGAGACGAAAGCUAGGGUAGCAAAUGGGA